rnacentral:rRNA from 1 species
CUGGCGGCGUGCCUAACACAUGCAAGUCGAGCGAUUACUUCGGUAAAGAGCGGCGGACGGGUGAGUAACGCGUGGGUAACCUGCCUCAUACACAUGGAUAACAUACCGAAAGGUAUGCUAAUACAGGAUAAUAUAAGAGAUUCACAUGGAUUUCUUAUCAAAGCUCCGGCGGUAUGAGAUGGACCCGCGUCUGAUUAGCUAGUUGGUAAGGUAAUGGCUUACCAAGGCGACGAUCAGUAGCCGACCUGAGAGGGUGAUCGGCCACAUUGGAACUGAGACACGGUCCAAACUCCUACGGGAGGCAGCAGUGGGGAAUAUUGCACAAUGGGCGAAAGCCUGAUGCAGCAACGCCGCGUGAGUGAUGAAGGCCUUCGGGUCGUAAAACUCUGUCCUCAAGGAAGAUAAUGACGGUACUUGAGGAGGAAGCCCCGGCUAACUACGUGCCAGCCGCCGC